AAUCUGGUUUGGUUCUCAAGUCUAUUGCAGGGCUCACAUAAUAAAGUAGAAACGUUGCAUAUAUUGCAAAGGCAAACUGGAGACAUGUAAGAGAAGUAACAAGCUUUGUUGAGGAUUCCGAAACAUUCCCAUCUUCCACAACACGAUUUCGGAACAAUCACUACCUGCAACCGAACCACUAAUCAAACACAGUCUUUUUCAAAUGAAACUGAAAAGAUUACCGAUAUCGAAACAUCAUCUUCGACCUGAGAAAGUUGGCCAAAAAUGAGUUGAGAAAGGCCUGUCAAGAGAGGUGAGUUAUGAACAAGAACAGAAUUGGGAGACUUAAUAAAGGAAGAAGCGUUUGUACAUGAGAAAUGCACUCAAUGUCACAUGGGGUUGAUGCUUAUAAUAUUAGUUUUAGUUGAAA